UCCAGCGGGGCGACCUGAAGCUGCUGCCGCCGGGACACGCGCGCACCUGGUUCCGCUGGAUGGAGAACAUACGGGACUGGUGCAUCUCCCGGCAGCUCUGGUGGGGCCACCGCAUCCCGGCCUAUUUCGUCACCGUGCGGGACCCCAGCGUGGCCCCCGGGCAG